UACGUAGGGUGCGAGCGUUGUCCGGAAUUAUUGGGCGUAAAGAGCUUGUAGGCGGUUUGUCGCGUCUGCCGUGAAAAUUCGAGGCUCAACCUCGAACUUGCGGUGGGUACGGGCAGACUAGAGUGUGGUAGGGGAGACUGGAAUUCCUGGUGUAGCGGUGAAAUGCGCAGAUAUCAGGAGGAACACCGAUGGCGAAGGCAGGUCUCUGGGCCACUACUGACGCUGAGGCGCGAAAGCUAGGGUAGCAAACGGG
rnacentral:rRNA from 1 species